AAGACAGGGAACAGCAGCAGGACUCCUCAAAGGACAGAAAGGACGAAAAGAAUGAAAAGGACUUAAAGGAAACAAAGGAGGAAAAGGACAAAAAGGAAGAAAAGAACAAAAAGGACAAAAAGAAGGAAAAGGACAAACAGGACAAAAAGGAGGAAGAGGACAAAAAGGAGGAAGAGGACAAAAAGGAGGAAGAGGACACAAAGGAGGAAGAGGACAAAGAGGACGAAAAGGAGCCAUCAACAAAUCCACCAAGUGAUGUUGAUUCAGAAACUAGCAACCAAGUGACAGAAAAGGCAACGGUGGAUAUGAAAUUC
rnacentral:lncRNA from 1 species